CAGCCACAUGCCCCUCCAUAGAACCUUUUCCUAUUCCAGCAUAAUAAAGCAGAAGCAGCUUUGUUCCUGGCACCCAGCAUCUCUGCCCUCCCUGUACCAGCUGCAAAGAGGAAAUUCUGGAGCAGAGCGCUGGGGGAAAUUAGAAGUCUUUGCAGUGGAAGGCCUGGCUCCUGGAUGAGUGCACUGAGGAUCCAACAAGAGAUUGAUUCCUGGCCGGAGAGGCAAGAUGGUGGAGGAGUAGGGCCCUCAUCUCACCCUGCCCCACCAACUUCCCUGGAUAACUUUCAAACCAUCCUAAACACCUACAAAUCCGACCUGAGAUUUAAAAGAGAGAAUGGCCGGAAUGCUACAGAGAGAAGGGUUUUCGUUUCUGACAGGUAGGAAGGCAAGGAAAAAAGAAAAAAAGAAUAAAGUAAGGGAGGGGCCCCGAGAGGAGACA
rnacentral:lncRNA from 1 species